AAUAAAACAUAGAUCAAGUGGCAUAAAGAACGAGUAAAGUUAAAGAACAAUGAUUGCUAGAGUUAGCAAAAUAAAGUGAUGAAAAGAACACUAGAGUUAGUGUGUGGCAUCAAAGAAAAAUGUGACGCAAAGAACGAUGAUAAUGAGUAGAGACAAGGAAAAUGAAAGUGGCAUAAAGAACGAGCAAAAUUAAAGAACAACGAUUUGCUAGAGUUAGCAAAAUAAAAUGAUG
rnacentral:lncRNA from 1 species